AUUUCUCAUUUCUGGGGAUUUAAGAGAGGAGGAGGAGGAGGAAGGUGCAGCUAGAUUGAGGAGCUGUUUGUCUCUGGGACUCUCCCUUCCUUUGACUUCACCAUGGCUUGGCUCCUUCUUCUCUUCGCCCUUCUCAAUUACUGCUCAGGUCUGGUUCUGGGUGGUUAAUGGGAUCAGGUUGGCUUGUGCUGAGAUAAUGGGUCAAGCAACAAACCCAUUUACCUCAUGUAAUUUACCAUAAAAACAGUAUUUUCUGAUCUUAUAAACACAGAAAAUGAUGCAUUUCUUUUCUUUUUGCAAAGGUGUCAUUUCACAGACUGUAACUCAGCCAGCCUCGGAGUCUGUGUCCCAGGGCCAAACUGCGAAACUCUCCUGCUCUAGAAGUAGUGGUAGCUGGGAAAGCUUUGGCUGGUAUCAACAGAAACCUGGACAGGCUCCUCGCUUUGUGUGGUAUGGUUCCAGCACCAGGGGAGAAGGGAUCCCAGAUCGGUUCACUGGCUCUCAAUCCGGGAACACUGGCUCUUUAACCAUCUCCAACAUCCAGACUGAAGAUGAGGCAGUUUAUUACUGUGGUGCCUGGGAGGGCACUGGUGGCUGGAAGUAU